CCUACGGGUGGCAGCAGUGAGGAAUAUUGGUCAAUGGGCGCGAGCCUGAACCAGCCAAGUAGCGUGAAGGAGGACUGCCCUACGGGUGGUAAACUUCGUUUAUAAAGGAAUAAAGUGAGGCACGUGUGCCUUUUUGUAUGUACUUUAUGAAUAAGGAUCGGCUAACUCCGUGCCAGCAGCCGCGGUAAUACGGAGGAUCCGAGCGUUAUCCGGAUUGAUUGGGUUUACAGGGAGCGUAGAUGGGUUGUUAAGUCAGUUGUGAAAGUUUGCGGCUCAAUCUUAAAAUUGCAAUUGAUACUGGCAGCCUUGAGUACAGUUGAGGUAGGCGGAAUUCGUGUUGUAGCGGUGAAAUGCUUAGAUAUCACGAAGAACUCCGAUUGCGAAGGCAGCUUACUAAACUGCCACUGACAUUGAUGCUCGAAAGUGUGGGUAUCAAACAGGAUUAGAUACCCCAGUAGUC
rnacentral:rRNA from 1 species